UACCAGUGGGCGGCAGCUUACCAUGACAAGUCGAGCGGUAAGGCCCUUCGGGGUACACGAGCGGCGAACGGGUGAGUAACACGUGAGCAACCUGCCCCUGACUCCGGGAUAAGCGGUGGAAACGCCGUCUAAUACCGGAUACGACCGGCCGCCUCAUGGUGGCCGGUGGAAAGUUCUUCGGUUGGGGAUGGGCUCGCGGCCUAUCAGCUUGUUGGUGGGGUAAAGGCCUACCAAGGCGAUUACGGGUAGCCGGCCUGAGAGGGCGACCGGCCACACUGGGACUGAGACACGGCCCAGACUCCUGCGGGAGGCAGCAGUGGGGAAUAUUGCGCAAUGGGCGAAAGCCUGACGCAGCGACGCCGCGUGGGGGAUGACGGCCUUCGGGUUGUAAACCUCUUUUACCACCAACGCAGGCUCCCAGUUCUCUGGGGGUUGACGGUAGGUGGGGAAUAAGGACCGGCUAACUACGUGCCAGCAGCCGCGGUAAUACGUAGGGUCCGAGCGUUGUCCGGAAUUAUUGGGCGUAAAGAGCUCGUAGGCGGCGUGUCGCGUCUGCUGUGAAAGACCGGGGCUUAACUCCGGUUCUGCAGUGGAUACGGGCAUGCUAGAGGUAGGUAGGGGAGACUGGAAUUCCUGGUGUAGCGGUGAAAUGCGCAGAUAUCAGGAGGAACACCGGUGGCGAAGGCGGGUCUCUGGGCCUUACCUGACGCUGAGGAGCGAAAGCAUGGGGAGCGAACAGGAUUAGAUACCCUGGUAGUCCAUGCCGUAAACGUUGGGCGCUAGGUGUGGGGACUUUCCACGGUUUCCGCGCCGUAGCUAACGCAUUAAGCGCCCCGCCUGGGGAGUACGGCCGCAAGGCUAAAACUCAAAGGAAUUGACGGGGGCCCGCACAAGCGGCGGAGCAUGUUGCUUAAUUCGACGCAACGCGAAGAACCUUACCAAGGUUUGACAUCACCCGUGGACCUGCAGAGAUGUGGGGUCAUUUAGUUGGUGGGUGACA
rnacentral:rRNA from 1 species